AUUGAACGCUGGCGGCAUGCUUUACACAUGCAAGUCGAACGGCAGCGCGGGCUUCGGCCUGGCGGCGAGUGGCGAACGGGUGAGUAAUACAGCGGAACGUGCCCAGGAGGGGGGGAAAGCUCGGCGAAAGCCGGAUUAAUACCGCAUACGACCUGAGGGUGAAAGCGGGGGAUCUUCGGAUCUCGCGCUUUUGGAGCGGCCGAUGGCAGAUUAGCUAGUUGGUGGGGUAAAGGCCUACCAAGGCGACGAUCUGUAGCUGGUCUGAGAGGACGACCAGCCACACUGGGACUGAGACACGGCCCAGACUCCUACGGGAGGCAGCAGUGGGGAAUUUUGGACAAUGGGCGAAAGCCUGAUCCAGCAAUGCCGCGUGUGUGAUGAAGGCCUUCGGGUUGUAAAGCACUUUUGGCGGGAACGAAAAGGACUGUGCCAAUACCACGGUUCGAUGACGGUACCCGAAGAAUAAGCACCGGCUAACUACGUG
rnacentral:rRNA from 1 species